GUGAAGGGGGGGGUUUUACGACUGUUCAGUUUAGGAGUAACUGCAGAGAGGCUAUUUUCUAGAUAGGCUCGGUUCUUCUCCAUUGUAGUUCCAGUCUUCACCCAGGGUUGCUACUAUUGGUGUCUUUUACUGGGCUCCUCCAAACACAAGGACGCAGGGUGGUGUUGAAGGUUGAUGUAGAAGUUUGUAGGUAAUGGUGCUGGGGCUCCAUGUUGCCUUUUAUGAGAUCUUUCCCUGAGUGUGUGUGGUGAUAGCUGGUUUAACCUGUGCACACUGAUUUGUCAUUGUUCCACUAGUGUGCAGCCUCACCAAGCUCCAGAGUCCAACCAAACUGGGCCAGGGAGCAGCUGUGCGAAGGGGAUUACUUUACUUUGUUUGAUUUAAUUUUCCUCUGAGCAUUGUUUGUCUGAGCAUUAAAUUGUCUGCCUACAAAUAUUGUAUUAAGAAAAUUACAUUGUUAUGCUACUUAUUUAUUGCCCACCAAAGCAAUCCUAUUAUGUGAUAUUUAAACAAAACAAAAACGUUCAUAUUACUUAAAUUUAAUAUAACUUAUCUUUAAUAAAACAUUAUUAACCCUCA